rnacentral:rRNA from 1 species
GACGAACGCUGGCGGCGUGCUUAACACAUGCAAGUCGAACGGAAAGGCCCUGCUUUUGUGGGGUGCUCGAGUGGCGAACGGGUGAGUAACACGUGAGUAACCUGCCCUUGACUUUGGGAUAACUUCAGGAAACUGGGGCUAAUACCGGAUAGGAGCUCCUGCUGCAUGGUGGGGGUUGGAAAGUUUCGGCGGUUGGGGAUGGACUCGCGGCUUAUCAGCUUGUUGGUGGGGUAGUGGCUUACCAAGGCUUUGACGGGUAGCCGGCCUGAGAGGGUGACCGGCCACAUUGGGACUGGGAUACGGCCCAGACUCCUACGGGAGGCAACAGUGCGGAAUAUUGCACAAUGGGCCGAAGCCUGAUGCAGCAGCGCCGCGUGCGGGAUGACGGCCUUCGGGUUAUAAACCGCUUUCGCCUGUGACGAAACGUGAGUGACGGUAAUGGGUAAAGAAGCACCGGCUAACUACGUG